rnacentral:rRNA from 1 species
CACGUAGGGGGCAAGCGUUGUCCGGAUUUAUUGGGCGUAAAGCGCUCGCAGGUGGUCCGAUGCGUCGUGCGUGAAAGACCCCGGCUCAACUGGGGAGUGUCGUGCGAUACGGUCGGACUGGAGGCCAGUAGGGGGAUGCGGAAUUCCGGGUGUAGUGGUGGAAUGCGUAGAGAUCCGGAGGAACACCAGCGGCGAAGGCGGCAUCCUGGACUGGUCCUGACACUCAUGAGCGAAAGCGUGGGGAGCGAUCCGG